rnacentral:rRNA from 1 species
CCUACGGGGGACAGCAGUGGGGAAUAUUGCGCAAUGGGCGAAAGCCUGACGCAGCGACGCCGCGUGAGGGAUGAAGGUCUUCGGCUCGUAAAGCUCUGUUGUUGGAGAAGAACGUGCGUGAGAGUAACUGUUCACGCAGUGACGGUAUCCAACCAGAAAGUCACGGCUAACUACGUGCCAGCAGCCGCGGUAAUACGUAGGUGGCAAGCGUUAUCCGGAUUUAUUGGGCGUAAAGCGAGCGCAGGCGGUCGCUUAGGUCUGAUGUGAAAGCCUUCGGCUUAACCGAAGAAGUGCAUCGGAAACCGGGCGACUUGAGUGCAGAAGAGGAAAGUGGAACUCCAUGUGUAGCGGUGGAAUGCGUAGAUAUAUGGAAGAACACCAGUGGCGAAGGCGGCUGACUGGUCUGCAACUGACGCUGAGGCUCGAAAGCAUGGGUAGCGAACAGGAUUAGAUACCCUAGUAGUC